rnacentral:tRNA from 1 species
GCGCCCGUAGCUCAGCUGGAUAGAGCGUUGGCCUCCGGAGCCAAAGGUCACAGGUUCGAAUCCUGUCGAGCGCACCA